AUUGAACGCUGGCGGCAGGCCUAACACAUGCAAGUCGAACGAGUGGCGGACGGGUGAGUAAUGUCUGGGAAACUGCCUGAUGGAGGGGGAUAACUACUGGAAACGGUAGCUAAUACCGCAUACCAUCGGAUGUGCACCGAUGUGAUUAGCUAGUAGGUGGGGUAACGGCUCACCGAGGCGACGAUCCCUAGCUGGUCUGAGAGGAGGACCAGCCACACUGGAACUGAGACACGGCCCAGACUCCUACGGGAGGCAGCAGUGGGGAAUAUUGCACAAUGGGCGAAAGCCUGAUGCAGCCAUGCCGCGUGUAUGAAGAAGGCCUUCGGGUUGUAAAGUACUUUCAGCGGGGAGGCGUUACCCGCAGAAGAAGCACCGGCUAACUCCGUGCCAGCAGCCGCGGUAAUAC
rnacentral:rRNA from 1 species